rnacentral:misc_RNA from 1 species
GAUGAAGAACGUAGCGAAAUGCGAUAAGUAAUGAGAAUUGCAGAAUUCAGUGAAUCAUCGAAUCUUUGAACGCACAUUGCGCCCCUCGGUAUUCCGAGGGGCAUGCCUGUUCGAGCGUCAUUAUAACCCUUCAAGCUCAGCUUGGUGUUGGGGCCUGCUGUAACUGGUAGCCCUUAAAAUCAGUGGCAGUGCUAUUAGGCUCUAAGCGUAGUAAUUCUUCUCGCUAUAGUGUGUAGUGAGCGCUUGCCAGAACCCCAAACUUUUAUAUGAUUGACCUCGGAUCAGGUAGGGAUACCCGCUGAACUUAAGCAUAUCAAUAAGCGGAGGA